rnacentral:rRNA from 1 species
CGGCCGCAGUACUCUGACUGUGCAAAGGUAGCAUAAUCAAUUGACUUUUAAUUGGAGUCUAGUAUGAAUGGAUUUACGUAAAAGUUCUGUCUCAAUUAAAAUUUUCUAAAAUUUUUUAGAAGGUGAAAAAACUUUCAGUAUUUAAAAGACGAGAAGACCCUAAGAAUUUUAAAAAAAUUAGUCUAUCUUUUUUGCUGGGGCGGCAGUGGAUCAAGGAACAUCCAUAUUAUCGAGUUUUCGUGUUUUAAAUUACCUUAGGGAUAACAGCACAAUUGUUACCUCGAUGUUGGACUAGGA